GGUUUUAGUGAAGCUGGUCGUCACAGUUCUUCAGCGGGACAGUCUUGGGUGUUUGGUAAAUCCAACGGUGAGAUCUUCUCUUAUUGAGCUGAAAUUUGGCAGAGGUAUUGUCGACUUGUUUAUCUUGGAUUUGUACGGUUGGAUUAGUUUCUGGAAGCCGGAAUCUUUGUGAUCUGAGGUCGUUUGGUUGCUGCCGGUUUUGAAGCUUUGUGUUGCUCUCUUGUUGUUGUUGUUUGUGUUGGAGAUAGCUCUUUGUAGCUAGACUCUCUGUUCUGUUCAGGCUGUUGAACAGGGAGGACGUGGUUGUACUCAUACCAUUUAUAUAGUGGAUUUUUGAGUGGACUACGGUCCCGUGGUUUUUCCUUCUCACAUCGAGGAGGUUUUCCACGUAAAAAGAGAUCCCAAGAGAGACAAGAACAGGAGCAGGAGCAAGUCUAAUAGAUUUGCUAAUAUGGAGUGCUACUUCUGUCAUAAGAAAGGGCACAUGAAGAAGGAUUGCUGGAAGUUGAAAAACAAGCAGCAAGGAAAUCAAGAAGAAAAGGUGGAUCGGGUGACUCUCACCGAAGAUCAGUUUCUCAUUCUUCUUGAGGGUGAUGCCAUUAAUGUCGCAUGCCAGGACACCAGUUGGGUGAUUGACAGUGGAGCUACUACUCAUGCUACAUCACAGCGGGAUUUGUUUUCUACCUAUACUACGGGUAAUUAUGGUUCUGUGAAGAUGGGGAAUGAUGCGAUGGCUCAGGUUGCUGGCAUUGGUGAUGUUUGCUUGGAGACUAGUCUUGGUACUAGGCUGGUGCUUAAGGAUGUUAAGCAUGUUCCUGAUAUUAGGAUGAAUCUGAUAUCGACGGGAAGACUUGAUGAUGAGGGCUAUUUCAGUUUGCACGGUGGUGGUAAAUGGAAGCUCUCUCGCGGUUCUUUGAUUGUGGCUCGAGGUGAGAAGUCUUCAUCUUUCUAUUGGAUGCAGGCUAAGGUCUCCAAAGAUGUUGUUAAUGCGGUGGAGAAUGAUAAUGCCAUGGAGCUAUGGCAUAAGAGACUCGGUCACAUGAGUGAGAAAGGAAUGGUUGUGUUGUCUAAGAAUGAGGUGAUUCCAGGAAUCUCUGGUUUGCACCUACAGAAGUGUUCGCAUUGCUUUGCGGGAAAACAACACAGGGUAUCUUUCAAGUCUUCCGCACCUUCUAGGAAACCCGAGGUACUGGAUUUGGUACACUCAGAUGUGUGUGGUCCAAUGAAGACAAGAUCUCUUGGUGGCGCAUCAUAUUUUGUGACUUUUAUUGAUGAUCAUUCAAGGAAGUCGUGGGUAUUUCCUAUGAGGACGAAGGAUCAGGUGCUGGGAUAUUUCAAGCACUUUGUGGCAUUGGUUGAGAGACAAACGGGGAAGAAGCUGAAGUGUAUCCGCAGUGAUAAUGGUGGAGAGUAUCUUGGACCAUUUGAUGCUUAUUGCAAAGAGCAUGGAAUAAGGCAUCAGUUCACGCCACCUCAUACUCCACAGUUGAAUGGGUUGGCUGAAAGGAUGAAUCGAACGAUUGUCGAGAGGAUGAGAUGUUUGAUCUCACAGUCAGGCUUAUCGAUGACUUUCUGGGCAGAAGCUUUGAACACGGUGGUUCAUGUGCUGAAUUUGUCACCAAGUGCUCCAUUGGAUGGUGAUGUUCCAGAGAGGGUUUGGACUGGUAAGGAUGUUUCUUACAGUCACUUGAGGGUCUUUGGGUGUAAGGCAUUUGUUCAUAUUCCCAAGGUUGAUAGAUCGAAGCUUGAGAUGAAGUCGCGGCAGUGUGUGUUCAUCGGUUAUGGUCAUGAUGAGUUCGGGUACAGAUUUUAUGAUCCCGUUGAGAGGAAGCUCGUAAGGAGCAGAGAUGUUGUGUUUAUGGAAGAUCAAACGAUUAAGGACAUUGACAAGUCCAAAAACCCAACUCAGAUUUUUGAGGGUUUGAUCGAUACAGAGGCUACUCCUUCUACAUCGGUUCACGGUGAGGUUGAGGUUGAGGUUCAGGAUAAUGCACCCAGUGCAGAUGCUCCCGCACAUGAAGAUGGUAGUGGUGAUCAUGGUGACGAUCAUGGUGAGACACCAGCUGCUGAGAACCAACCUACUAUUGUUAGAAGAUCCGAGAGAGGUCUUAAACCGUCGACAAGGUAUGAUCCUAGUGAGUAUGUAUUACUUACUGAUGGGGGAGAGCCUGAAAGCUAUGAUGAAGCUUUGGAGGAUGAACACAAGGAUAAGUGGUUUGGAGCCAUGGAUGAGGAGAUGGAUUCUUUUGAGGAGAACCAUACUUUUGAGUUGGUGGAAUUGCCUAAGGGCAAGAAGGCUCUGCUUAAUAAGUGGGUGUACAGAAUUAAGCAUGAGGAUGACAAUUUGCCACCUCGACACAAGGCUAGAUUGGUUGUGAAAGGCUACAGCCAAAAGAAGGGAAUUGAUUAUGAUGAAAUCUUUUCUCCUGUUGUGAAGAUGUCAUCCAUUCGGGUUGUACUUGGAUUGGCAGCGAGCCUUGAUCUAGAGGUUGAGCAAAUGGACGUGAAGACUGCUUUCCUUCAUGGUAAUUUGGAGGAAGAGAUCUACAUGGAACAACCGGAAGGCUAUGUGCAAAAGGGCAAAGAAAAUUUGGUUUGCCGCUUGAAGAAAAGCCUUUAUGGAUUGAAGCAAGCACCAAGGCAGUGGUACAUGAAGUUCAAGUCUGUUAUGGGGGAGCAUGGUUAUGCAGAGACUGAUUCAGACCAUUGUGUAUUUGUGAAGGUGUUCGGUGAGGAUGAUUUUAUCAUCUUGUUGCUGUAUGUCGAUGAUAUGUUGAUUGUGGGCAGGAACAUGGACAGAAUUAAGGAGUUGAAAGAGCAGCUCAGUGAGUCCUUUGCCAUGAAAGAUAUGGGUCCAGCGAAACAGAUUCUUGGUAUGAGAAUUAUUCGGGAUAGAGGUGAGAAGCUGAUUCACUUAUCUCAGGAGAAGUACAUUGAAAAAGUACUUAAGCGGUUUCACAUGGACAAGUCUAAAGUGUUGAGUACUCCUCUUGCUCCACACUUAAGACUGAGCAGUCAACAAAGUCCGAAGACAUAUGCGGAGAAGGAAGAUAUGGCGAAGGUUCCGUAUGCUUCUGCAGUGGGUAGUUUGAUGUAUGCCAUGGUCUGUACAAGACCGGAUUUAGCCUACGCCGUUGGAGUUGUCAGCAGGUUUCUCUCCAAUCCGGGAAGAGAACAUUGGAAUGCUGUGAAGUGGAUUUUGAGAUAUCUCAGAGGGACUUCUAAUUUGAAGAUUACAUUUGGAGGUAAGAAGUCAUUGCUUGUCAGUUACACUGAUUCUGACAUGUCGGGAGAUGCUGAUUCUAGCAAAUCUACUUCGGGUUACUUGGUAACAUUUGCGGGUGGAGCUGUGGCAUGGCAGUCAAGGUUGCAAAAGUGUGUUGCACUAUCUACCACUGAGGCAGAGUUCAUUGCUGCAGUUGAAGCUUGUAAAGAGCUGUUGUGGAUGAAGAACUUCUGUGAAGAGAUCGGUUUCAAGCAAGAAAAGUAUGUGUUGCUUUGUGAUAGUCAAAGCGCUAUUUGUCUCGGGAAGAAUUCUACAUUUCAUUCGAAGUCAAAACACAUUCAGAGGAGGUAUCAUUGGAUACGUGAUGUGGUUGCUUCUAAGGAAGUGGAACUUGAGAAAGUUCAUACGGAUGAUAAUGGAGCUGAUAUGAUGACGAAGUCAUUACCGAGGGGGAAGCUUGAGGUAUGCCGAGAGAUAGCCGGAAUGGCUGUUUCUUCCAUCUAGUCGGAGGGGGUGUUUGUUGGGUCCCUCCUAGAUGGAGAGAACCAAGUGGGCAUGAGACAUAAUAAUAAUUCUCAUGACCCUUUGCACUGUAGACACACAAUAAUAAAGUUUAGAGAGAGAGACAAAAGAGAGAAAGAAGAGAGAAGGAGGAGAAAACUCGUCAGGUUAUUUCAAGACUGGUUUUGGAGGAUCAAACGGAACUUGAUCGGGCUGAUAUUUUGUGGGAAGCUUCUUCAGUCAGUGGGUUAGAGGUUCACCGAAGGGAUUUGGAUUUCAACGGUUGGAUCUUCUGUUGUCUGGGUUUUCUUGAAGCUGGUCGCCAUAGUUCUUCAGCAGAGCAGUCUUGGGUGUUUGGUAAAUCCAACGGUGAAAUCUUCUCUUAUUGAGCUGAAAUUUGGCAGAGGUAUUGUCGACUUGUUUAUCUUGGAUUUGUACGGUUGGAUUAGUUUCUGGAAGCCGGAAUCUUUGUGAUCUGAGGUCGUUUGGUUGCUGCCGGUUUUGAAGCUUUGUGUUGCUCUCUUGUUGUUGUUGUUUGUGUUGGAGAUAGCUCUUUGAAGCUAGUGUCUCUGUUCUGUUCUGGUUGUUGAACAGGGAGUACGUGGUUGUACUCACAAACAUUUAUAUAGUGGAUUGUUGAGUGGACUACGGUCCCGUGGUUUUUCCCUCUCACAUCGAG
rnacentral:lncRNA from 1 species